GAUUGGAUCACUCGGCUCAUGGAUCGAUGAAGAACGCAGCGAAAUGCGAUAAGUAAUGUGAAUUGCAGAAUUCAGUGAAUCAUCGAAUCUUUGAACGCACCUUGCACUCCUUGGUAUUCCGAGGAGCAUGCCUGUUUGAGUGUC
rnacentral:rRNA from 1 species